UCUUUUAGCUGCAUGAUUCUAUCCCAGAAUGCUUGCCCCCAAAUUUGCACUAGUUUAACGCUAUAAGCUGGCAGAAUACAUGGUGCUAUAUGGACAUUGUAUUUGUCUUAUAAAGAAUACAUCUAGGUAGGUUGUUUUACUGCAAAAAGCAGCUAAAGAUCUUUAUAAACAUUCAUAAUUACAAAAGGAGGUAGAUGCAUAUGAUUAAGAACUAAUAAUGUUAACAAUAAAAAAAAAAAAAGAUGUUAGUAAGGGGUUGUCAGGAAAUAUUGCAAGAAACUAAACUUCAGGUAAAACAAAAAAACGACUUUUUGGUUUCAACAAGAGAAUGUUUUAUUUAUAAAGAAGAUAAAAAUUUGGUUUUCUCGAUUGACCUGUCCCAAGGUGCUCUGAGGUGGUAGUCAUGAUAUUGUGUUGAGUAUGUGUCAAUCCACAUGCACACUAACCGCACAGGCUUGUUAUUUGAAAACUGGUUCUUCCCUUGACUAGGUGCACCUCUCUGCGCAAUAUAAGAGACAAUGAAGAGAAAGACUCUGCGUUCAGAGGAAUCUGCACCAUGAUCACGGUCAACCCUGGUGGUGUGGUGCAGGACUUCAUAUUUUUCUGUGACGCUGUUGCAUCCUGGGUGAACCCAAAAGACGAUCUUCGAGAAAUGUUCUAUAAGAUCUUGCAUGGGUUUAAGAACCAGGUUGGAGAUGAGAAUUGGAUACACUUUUCUGACCAGUUUCCCCUUCCACUCAAAGAGAGACUUGCAGCCUUCUAUGGGGUGUAGAUGUUACCUGAUU